CUACCACUGAGCUACAUCCCCAGCCCUUCAUAUGCUUUUAGAGCAGCAUGGAAACCACUGGAGGACUUUUGUCUUUCCUUUUGGAAGUAGAAUGAUUGAACUUGUAAUUUAAAUAGAUCAAAUAAUAUAUAAACUGUUUCUUUUA